rnacentral:ncRNA from 2 species
AUCUGAGACCACCGCAGCGGUGGAGUAGCGUGGAGGGGCUGUCGACGGGGAAAUCCGGUGCGAGACCGGAACUGACCCGCAGCCGUGAGGUGCAUCCACUGGAUACCCGAGUCGGAAUGCCCGUCGGCAAUGGAUUGGUGCA